UCUGGUUGAUCCUGCCAGUAGUCAUAUGCUUGUCUCAAAGAUUAAGCCAUGCAUGUCUAAGUACAAACCUUAAUACGGUGAAACCGCGAAUGGCUCAUUAAAUCAGCUAUGGUUCCUUAGAUCGUCUCAUCCUACUCGGAUAACUGUGGAAAAUCUAGAGCUAAUACGUGCUUACAAGCCCUGACCUCACGGGAGGGGCGCAUUUAUUAGAUCAAAACCAAUCGGGGCUUGCCCCGUCUGCUUGGUGACUCUGGAUAACUUUUGUGCUGAUCGCAUGGCCUCUGCGCUGGCGACGUAUCUUUCAAGUGUCUGCCCUAUCAACUUACGAUGGUAGGUGAUAUGCCUACCAUGGUUAUAACGGGUAACGGGGAAUCAGGGUUCGAUUCCGGAGAGGGAGCCUGAGAAACGGCUACCACAUCUAAGGAAGGCAGCAGGCGCGCAAAUUACCCACUCCCGGCACGGGGAGGUAGUGACGAAAAAUAACGAUACGGGACUCUUUUGAGGCCCCGUAAUUGGAAUGAGUACACUUUAAAUCCGUUAACAAGUAUCUAUUGGAGGGCAAGUCUGGUGCCAGCAGCCGCGGUAAUUCCAGCUCCAAUAGCGUAUAUUAAUGUUGCUGCAGUUAAAAAGCUCGUAGUUGGAUCUGAGGACUCGAAUUGGUGGUGCACCAUACGGUGUUACUGCCGAUUCGGCCUACCUAGUCGGUGCUCGCUCUUGGUGUUCUUAAUUGAAUGCCCUGAGUGCCCGGCAAGUUUACUUUGAAAAAAUUAGAGUGCUCAAAGCAGGCCAUUAGCCGGAAUACUUCAGCAUGGAAUAAUGGAAUAGGACUUCGGUUCUAUUUUGUUGGUUUUCGGAACCCGAGGUAAUGAUUAAGAGAGACAGACGGGGGCAUUCGUACUGCGGUGUUAGAGGUGAAAUUCUUGGAUCGCCGCAAGACGAACAACUGCGAAAGCAUUUGCCAAGAAUGUUUUCAUUAAUCAAGAACGAAAGUCAGAGGUUCGAAGACGAUCAGAUACCGUCCUAGUUCUGACCAUAAACGAUGCCAACUGGCGAUCCGAGAUCGUUUGCUUAUUGACCUCUCGGGCAGCCUCCGGGAAACCAAAGUUUUUAGGUUCCGGGGGAAGUAUGGUUGCAAAGCUGGAAACUGUUCAAUUGCAACUCUGCCUGUGACACCAAGUGGUCGGGUUACUUGGUCUGUUCUGGCCCGGAGUCGGUAGGGUUUCCGGCCUUGUGCUCUUUCCUUACUGUUCUCUGUAACGCCGAAGGCGGGGCUUCCACGGUGGGGAAGCGGUUGUACAAAUCCGGCAAAUCCAGCCAAAUGGGUUCCGGACUCUGUCCAACCUGCAACUGGUAACAGCCUCGGCUGGCUAACAUUUGAGCUGGGACUCGCUUGGGAGGAGCGAGGAUAAUAUAAACCUCUAUGUGACUGAGGUGAGGAAUCUGGUUCUCGUAAAAUGGCUGGAGAUCCCGAGCCUGUAAGUCAUAAAUUAGUUCCCCACGAGGGGAGGUGUCGAAUUGAAGCCAGUGCGUGCCCUUACUAGUUUAAGGGAUUGUAUACUUCCUUUGGUGUACCCACCUGGAAGUGCCCAAGGGUCCUAUCCCUGCACUCCAUCCCCGAUUGGAGUCAGGUGACGGCUCCUUACCUCACCAGACGCGGCCGGACCCCGGAAGGGGUCUGGGCCCCGAAGCCUGACGGCGUCGGGGUGCAGGAAGCCUCUAGGCGACCAGCCCAGCC
rnacentral:rRNA from 1 species